rnacentral:misc_RNA from 1 species
UACAGAGGGCCCGAGCGUUGCGCGGAAUCACUGGGCUUAAAGGGUGCGUAGGCGGAAUCGUAAGUGUCUCGUGAAAUCCCACGGCUCAACCGUGGAACCGCGGGGCAUACUGCGAUUCUUGAGGCUGGUAGGCGCCGCCGGAACUGUGGGUGUAGCGGUGAAAUGCGUAGAUAUCUACAGGAACGCCGAUGGUGAAGACGGGCGGCUUGGCCAGUUCUGACGCUGAGGCACGAAAGCGUGGGGAUCAAACAGG